rnacentral:rRNA from 1 species
AAUCUGCCUAUUAGUGGGGGACAACAUUUCGAAAGGAAUGCUAAUACCGCAUACGUCCUACGGGAGAAAGCAGGGGAUCUUCGGACCUUGCGCUAAUAGAUGAGCCUAAGUCGGAUUAGCUAGUUGGUGGGGUAAAGGCCUACCAAGGCGACGAUCUGUAGCGGGUCUGAGAGGAUGAUCCGCCACACUGGGACUGAGACACGGCCCAGACUCCUACGGGAGGCAGCAGUGGGGAAUAUUGGACAAUGGGCGCAAGCCUGAUCCAGCCAUGCCGCGUGUGUGRAGAAGGYCUUAUGGUUGUAAAGCACUUUAAGCGAGGAGGAGGCUACUUUAGUUAAUACCUAGAGAUAGUGGACGUUACUCGCAGAAUAAGCACCGGCUAACUCUGUGCCAGCAGCCGCGGUAAUACAGAGGGUGCAAGCGUUAAUCGGAUUUACUGGGCGUAAAGCGCGCGUAGGCGGCUAAUUAAGUCAAAUGUGAAAUCCCCGAGCUUAACUUGGGAAUUGCAUUCGAUACUGGUUAGCUAGAGUGUGGGAGAGGAUGGUAGAAUUCCAGGUGUAGCGGUGAAAUGCGUAGAGAUCUGGAGGAAUACCGAUGGCGAAGGCAGCCAUCUGGCCUAACACUGACGCUGAGGUGCGAAAGCAUGGGGAGCAAACAGGAUUAGAUACCCUGGUAGUCCAUGCCGUAAACGAUGUCUACUAGCCGUUGGGGCCUUUGAGGCUUUAGUGGCGCAGCUAACGCGAUAAGUAGACCGCCUGGGGAGUACGGUCGCAAGACUAAAACUCAAAUGAAUUGACGGGGGCCCGCACAAGCGGUGGAGCAUGUGGUUUAAUUCGAUGCAACGCGAAGAACCUUACCUGGCCUUGACAUAGUAAGAACUUUCCAGAGAUGGAUUGGUGCCUUCGGGAACUUACAUACAGGUGCUGCAUGGCUGUCGUCAGCUCGUGUCGUGAGAUGUUGGGUUAAGUCCCGCAACGAGCGCAACCCUUUUCCUUAUUUGCCAUCGAGUAAUGUCGGGAACUUUAAGGAUACUGCCAGUGACAAACUGGAGGAAGGCGGGGACGACGUCAAGUCAUCAUGGCCCUUACGGCCAGGGCUACACACGUGCUACAAUGGUCGGUACAAAGGGUUGCUACCUAGCGAUAGGAUGCUAAUCUCAAAAAGCCGAUCGUAGUCCGGAUUGGAGUCUGCAA